rnacentral:ncRNA from 1 species
CAUCGUGAGAUGGAAUCUGAAGGAAGCUGGAUGUGAGGAACAUACUAACUCACGGGCAAAUCUCUGGUCUGACGAACAGGAAUCUCAUAUGAGGUCAUGCAUGAGGGUAAAACUGCUAUUCAAGUUGAAGCCCAAUAACUACACGGAAUCAUGCAUGAUAAAUGAGGCAGAUGGAUGGAGAGGAAGAAA